AACGAGACCUGGAGGACUUGGCCUUGCGCAACGAGCGUGACCGUUGACUGAUCCAUGGCAGGGCACCCCGAUGCGUUAUCGCAGCCUCCUGCCGGGGGACGCACCCGUAACAGGAUAGCCUGGGAUUACUCGCUGCCUCCAGGAGGGAGAGGAGUGGGUUCUGUUGGAGAACAGCGGCCGGAAGACAGGCUCGCUUGGCAGGGAUCCACAUUUCAGAUGGGCGCGUGCCAAGAAACCCUGAUCAUGUCAUCCAGCAUGGGAGGGGGGGGACGGCUGGGGGAAGAAAAAGCCUAAUUGAAAACAUUUGCUCACCAGAGCGACGGAUCUCAGCGAAUGCAAGCAGAUUUAGCCUCCGUGCCAGGUACUUCGAGAUGCACCUGGCAGCCCGUCAAUAUGCCGGGCCUCAUUUGAGGCUUGCAAUUUGCAAGUCGGCAAGGAAGAAAAUGCAGGCUUGAAAUGUAGGUUGGGUAGCUGCUGGCUCUGCCCCAGAUUGCCAGCACUUCUGUGGGCAAGCAGCCUCAUCUCCCUCCAAUUGGGACAAACGAUGCUUGAUUAUCUUGACCAGGUGGGACUGUGAAGAUAAAUUUGUUAAUAAUUGGAGUGGGGGUGGUCUCAACCCUUUCAGUGCUGGAGCUGUAUAGGUACCUAGGUAGAGAAAGGGAAGCUCUUUGAAGCAUUUCAGUUUUCACUGCUUGGAUCAGUCUCCAGGCCUUUCAUUUUCAGGUGUAAUUUCAUGUGGUUUGCUGCAUUCAGACUGCAAAAUGCACGUAGCUGAAACGGAUUGGAUGAAACAGCAUCAUCUCCCUACAGACAUCAAAGGAGCUAGGCAAAUAUUUUUCCAGAGUCCUUUACCUUCACCACACUGAAGCAGCGCCGGAUGCAGUGAGCGCUGCCCUCUCCCUGUCUUCACCACCAGUCAAGUAGGUGGCCUUCUGACUUCAGCUACACCAACCUUCGCCGGCAGAGACCACAUUUAUAAGUCAAGCCCAAAAUCUUCAGAAGAAAGGUGACUAAAACAGCCCCGUUCCACAAAGGACUGACAGCUUUUUGAGCACACGCGAGAGGUCGUCAGCAGCAGUUGCUCGACUGUGGAGCAAACACCCGUUGCAGUCCUACCACUGGGACAGUGCCCCUGUCUUCCUGGAAAAGAACAGUACUAAUUGUGGAUGAAUGGAUGAUAUGGGGGUUGUUCACAACAGAUAUAACAAGCAUUAGCGCAAGGGGGUGGGCGAGGAUUUAUAGACAGUGUUACUUUCCUCUCUGAGGCUGAACCCUGAAAGAAGAGAGUGUUUUUUUCUGGCUAGUAAGUAAGCAUUGGAGCACCAGGUUUGAGCUAACAUAUGCAUGUACAGGGGAAAAGAAUGACACAUCAGUAUAUCUUGUAUCACACAUCAGACCUUCAGAGCCAUAGUUAUGAAAGAACAAUAGCUCUAGGCAUCUGGAUGGGAGGCAGCAUCGUUCCCUGAAGAUCUCUGGUUAGAGCUCAGCAGUACAUAACCUGGCUCCCAGCGUAGGCUCUUCCAUGCUGGGCAUCUGCAAUGAGAGCAGCUUGCAUGGGCCCUGUCCUGGGCAAGGAGGUUUCAGUGCAGGUUCUCUUCUCCCCCGGUCUUUGCCAAGCCUGUGAUGAACUUCUGCCUGGCAAGUAGCAGGGCACAUCUGUUCAGAAAGCCAAGCCCUUGCACCUAAACCAGUUUUUUGCGGGAGCUUGAACAAACUGCCCUUCUCGGCCCCCCAGCCAGCUGCUGGCCCAGACGGCACCCGGCCCGGGGGUAGGCCACUGGCAACUCCGACUGCAAAGCUGAGAACGACGGGUGUAUUGGAAUUAAUAGGGAUACAGGGCUUAUGUAUCAGAGAGGUGAGGGAUUUCCCCCCCAUCACAGACUGAUUGCUGACGGCAGAGGAGAGGACAUGCCAUCAUGUUGUUUAGUGCUUUCAAUGCCUCCGCAGCAGCUGCACUGAGAUGCCCCCCACCUCUUCCUCCCCAGCUCCAUUUUGCCCUCUGGCUCUUAGCCUCAGCCUCUCUCCUGGUAACUAGGCUGGAUGCUAUGUGCAGUGCUGUCAGUCGCAGGUUAGCACAGUGA